GUCGUUUGCAAAAUUUACUGUCUAAUAUGCGACCUAUAUACCUGUAGGUAUAGUUACAAUACAUGUAUGUUGAGACUUUAAUAAUAUAUUUAGUGUUAACGAAUGUCACUUACCGCUUAUUGGUUUGAGUCCUGUUCAAAUUCUUUCAAUUUUAUUGCUGUAUGUUGAUGAGACGAGAUGAGAUUCGAAGCACGCUUAUAUAGACAACCACGAAAAUAAGAGAAUUCCCCUUAUUGCACUGGGUAAUCACCGAGGCCUUCUUUUGAGAUGUUUAAAGAAGAAUGUAAUGUAAUGCUUUUUAUGCCGGUCAGAAACUGGGAAGUAUUUAAUAAUUCAC
rnacentral:lncRNA from 1 species